GACGAACGCUGGCGGCGUGCUUAACACAUGCAAGUCGAACGGUCCUUGUCCCCUUUUUUUUUGGGGGUGGGGUUAGUGGCGAACGGGUGAUUAACACGUGAGUAACCUGCCCCUCCCUUCUGGAUAACCGCUUGAAAGGGUGGCUAAUACGGGUUUUUCUGGCCUGCUCGCAUGGGUGGGUUUGGAAAGUUUCGACCGGUUUUGGUUGUUUUGGUGGGGGAUUGGCUCGCGGCCUAUCAGCUUGUUGGUGGGGUGAUGGCCUGCCAAGGCUUUGACGGGUAGCCGGCCUGAGAGGGUGGGCGGUCACACUGGGAAUGAGACACGGCCCAGACUCCUACGGGAGGCAGCAGUGGGGAAUAUUGCACAAUGGGCGCAAGCCUGAUGCAGCGACGCCGCGUGAGGGAUGGAGGCCUUCGGGUUGGGAACCUCUUUCGGCAGUGAAGAAGGUCCUGCUCUUUGUGGGGGGGUUGACGGUAGCUGGGUUAAUGAAGCGCCGGCUAACUACGUG
rnacentral:rRNA from 1 species